CAUUACGAAGCUUAGAGCGUUAACCUUUUAAGUUAAAGUUAGGGAUGUAUAAUCUCCGUAGUGA
rnacentral:tRNA from 1 species